rnacentral:rRNA from 1 species
AUUGAACGCUGGCGGCAGGCCUAACACAUGCAAGUCGAGCGGAUGAAGGGAGCUUGCUCCUGGAUUCAGCGGCGGACGGGUGAGUAAUGCCUAGGAAUCUGCCUGGUAGUGGGGGAUAACGUCCGGAAACGGGCGCUAAUACCGCAUACGUCCUGAGGGAGAAAGUGGGGGAUCUUCGGACCUCACGCUAUCAGAUGAGCCUAGGUCGGAUUAGCUAGUUGGUGGGGUAAAGGCCUACCAAGGCGACGAUCCGUAACUGGUCUGCGAGGAUGAUCAGUCACACUGGAACUGAGACACGGUCCAGACUCCUACGGGAGGCAGCAGUGGGGAAUAUUGGACAAUGGGCGAAGGCCUGAUCCAGCCAUGCCGCGUGUGAAGAAGGUCUUCGGAUUGUAAAGCACUUUAAGUUGGGAGGAAGGGCAGUAAGUUAAUACCUUGCUGUUUUGACGUUACCAACAGAAUAAGCACCGGCUAACUUCGUG